rnacentral:rRNA from 1 species
UACGUAGGGUGCGAGCGUUAAUCGGAAUUACUGGGCGUAAAGCGUGCGCAGGCGGUUUUGUAAGACAGAUGUGAAAUCCCCGGGCUUAACCUGGGAACUGCGUUUGUGACUGCAAGACUCGAGUACGGCAGAGGGGGUGGAAUUCCGACGUGUAGCAGUGAAAUGCGUAGAGAUGUGGAGGAACACCGAUGGCGAAGGCAGCCCCUGGGUCGAUACUGACGCUCGAUGCACGAAAGCGUGGGGAGCGAA